rnacentral:piRNA from 1 species
UGUUUGUGCGUAUAAACUCUCAAGGAUGAC